ACCAAAGGAUAGUAGUAUCC
rnacentral:tRNA from 1 species